GCGGUGGUAGCUCAGUUGGUAGAGCAUCUGCCUUCCAAGCAGAAUGUCGAGGGUUCGAGUCCCUUCCGCCGCUCCA
rnacentral:tRNA from 2 species